rnacentral:miRNA from 4 species
UUAUGGUUUGCCUGGGACUGAG